rnacentral:rRNA from 1 species
CACGUAGGGCGCAAGCGUUGUCCGGAAUUAUUGGGCGUAAAGAGCUCGUAGGCGGACUGUCACGUCUGCUGUGAAAUCCUUUGGCUCAACCAAAGAAGUGCAUUCGAAACUGGAGAGCUUGAGUACUUAAGAGGAUCGCGGAAUUCCCGGUGUAGAGGUGAAAUUCGUAGAUAUCGGGAGGAACACCAGUGGCGAAGGCGGCGAUCUGGGAAGAUACUGACGCUGAGGUGCGAAAGCGUGGGGAGCAAACAGG